CUGACAUAUCAUGGUUUUAUUUUAUGAAACACUUCAUCAUAAAUUAGUCCCUUCCAUGUUGAGGGAAGAUUUCCCGAACAAAAAGUUCUCACAAUAGAGAUGUUGGUGAGUCACUCUCAUUUUGGUGACUCAUGCUACUUUGGUUUUAUAACCUUUUGAGUAAUAUGAUAACAGUAAUGCUUAAUUUGUAUGUGCCUCUACAGACCUCUGAAAAUCACCUAGGCAGUGUGGAGCACAAAUAGAGGCUUUCAAAUUUAAAUUCCAGCUAUACUCCUUCUGAAGUAUGUGCAUUUGGGCAUUAUUUCAAGCUGAUACAAUGGAUAUACUCUCCAUUCUUUCCUAUAACUUCUUCAAGUUAUUCCACUGUGUAAGGCCCAUUUCAGCCCCAGAACUGUGGUCAACUGACUUACAGGUAGGUAAGUAAAAUGAAAGUGUUAGUUGCUCAGUCAUGUCCAACUCUUUGCAACCCCAGGGACUAUAGCCCACCAAGCUCCUCUGUCUAUGGAAUUCUCCAGGCAAGAAUACUAGAGUGAGUAGCCAUUCUCUUCUCCGGAGGAUCUUCCCAACCCAGGGAUCAAACCUGGGUCUUCCCACCCUGCAGGAAGAUUCUUUACAAUCUGAGCCACCAGGGAGGACUAAAGUGAUAUAUUAAAACUCA
rnacentral:lncRNA from 1 species